AUUCCGCGAAUCAUCGAGUCUUUGAACGCAAGUAGCGCCCGAGGCUUGUCCAAGGGCAUUUCCGCUAGAGCGUCACC
rnacentral:rRNA from 1 species